CGGGAGGCCUAACACAUGCAAGCCGAGCGGUAGAUUGCUUUCGGGCAAUUGAGAGCGGCGUACGGGUGCGGAACACGUGUGCAACCUGCCUUUAUCAGGGGGAUAGCCUUUCGAAAGGGAGAUUAAUACCCCAUAAUAUAUUGAUUCGCAUGGAUUGAUAUUGAAAACUCCGGUGGAUAGAGAUGGGCACGCGCAAGAUUAGAUAGUUGGUGAGGUAACGGCUCACCAAGUCAGUGAUCUUUAGGGGGCCUGAGAGGGUGAUCCCCCACACUGGUACUGAGACACGGACCAGACUCMUACGGGAGGCAGCAGUGAGGAAUAUUGGACAAUGGGUGAGAGCCUGAUCCAGCCAUCCCGCGUGAAGGACGACUGCCCUAUGGGUUGUAAACUUCUUUUGUACAGGGAUAAACCCUAGAUACGUGUAUCUAGCUGAAGGUACUGUACGAAUAAGCACC
rnacentral:rRNA from 1 species